UACGAAGGGGGCUAGCGUUGUUCGGAGUUACUGGGCGUAAAGGGCGCGUAGGCGGCCGAUCAAGUCGGGGGUGAAAGCCUGUGGCUCAACCACAGAAUUGCCUUCGAUACUGUUUGGCUUGAGACCGGAAGAGGUAAGUGGAACUGCGAGUGUAGAGGUGAAAUUCGUAGAUAUUCGCAAGAACACCAGUGGCGAAGGCGGCUUACUGGUCCGGUUCUGACGCUGAGGCGCGAAAGCGUGGGGAGCAAACAGG
rnacentral:rRNA from 1 species